ACUAGGUAUAGUGGUGUGCAUCUGUAGUCCCAGUUACUCAGGAGUCUGAGGCAGGAGGCUCUCUUGAGCCCAGGAGUUCAAGACCUGCCUUGGCAACACAGAAGGACUCCAUCUGU
rnacentral:sRNA from 1 species